rnacentral:rRNA from 1 species
CACGUAGGGGGCAAGCGUUGUCCGGAUUUAUUGGGCGUAAAGAGCUCGUAGGCGGCUUAGUAAGUCGGGUGUGAAACCUCCAGGCUCAACCUGGAGACGCCACCCGAUACUGCUGUGGCUAGAGUCCGGUAGGGGAGUGUGGAAUUCCUGGUGUAGCGGUGAAAUGCAUAGAUAUCAGGAGGAACACCAGCGGCGAAGGCGGCACUCUGGGCUGGAACUGACGCUGAGGAGCGAAAGCGUGGGGAGCGAACAGG